rnacentral:rRNA from 1 species
CCUACGGGCGGCAGCAGUGGGGAAUAUUGCACAAUGGGGGAAACCCUGAUGCAGCGACGCCGCGUGAGUGAAGAAGUAAUUCGUUAUGUAAAGCUCUAUCAGCAGGGAAGAAAAUGACGGUACCUGAGUAAGAAGCCCCGGCUCACUACGUGUCAGCAGCCGCGGUAAUACGUAGGGGGCAAGCGUUAUCCGGAUUUACUGGGUGUAAAGGGAGCGUAGACGGCAGUGCAAGUCUGGAGUGAAAGGCGGGGGCUCAACCCCCGGACUGCUCUUGAAACUGUACGGCUGGAGUGCAGGAGAGGUAAGUGGAAUUCCUAGUGUAGCGGUGAAAUGCGUAGAUAUUAGGAAGAACACCAGUGGCGAAGGCAGCUUACUGGACUGUAACUGACGUUGAGGCUCGAAAGCGUGGGGAGCGAACAGGAUUAGAUACCCCAGUAGUC